GACGGAGGGUGCAAGCGUUGUUCGGAAUCACUGGGCGUAAAGCGCGUGUAGGCGGUCUGAUCAGUCGAGUGUGAAAGCCCGAGGCUCAACUUCGGAAGUGCACUCGAAACUGUCAGGCUUGAGUACGGGAGAGGGAAGUGGAAUUCCUGGUGUAGAGGUGAAAUUCGUAGAUAUCAGGAGGAACACCGGUGGCGAAGGCGGCUUCCUGGACCGAUACUGACGCUGAGACGCGAAAGCGUGGGGAGCAAACAGG
rnacentral:rRNA from 1 species